rnacentral:rRNA from 1 species
UGGGGAAUAUUGCACAAUGGGCGAAAGCCUGAUGCAGCAACGCCGCGUGAGUGAUGAAGGCCUUCGGGUUGUAAAGCUCUGUCUUUUGGGACGAUAAUGACGGUACCAAAGGAGGAAGCCACGGCUAACUACGUGCCAGCAGCCGCGGUAAUACGUAGGUGGCAAGCGUUGUCCGGAUUUACUGGGCGUAAAGGAUGCGUAGGCGGAUUUUUAAGUGAGAUGUGAAAUACCCGGGCUUAACUUGGGUGCUGCAUUUCAAACUGGGAAUCUAGAGUGCGGGAGAGGAGAAUGGAAUUCCUAGUGUAGCGGUGAAAUGCGUAGAGAUUAGGAAGAACACCAGUGGCGAAGGCGAUUCUCUGGACCGUAACUGACGCUGAGGCACGAAAGCGUGGGUAGCAAACAGGAUUAGAUACCCUGGUAGUCCACGCCGUAAACGAUGAGUACUAGGUGUAGGAGGUAUCGACCCCUUCUGUGCCGCAGUUAACACAAUAAGUACUCCGCCUGGGAAGUACGAUCGCAAGAUUAAAA